UUUCCGUAGGUGAACCUGCGGAAGGAUCAUUCAUAAUAAGUGUUUUAUGGCACUUUUUUAAAUCCAUAUCCACCUUGUGUGCAAUGUCAGGGUUGAUUUUUCUCUCGAGAGGAUCAACCCCAAACAUCAACUAUAUCUCAACUCUUUGUCUGAAAAAUAUUAUGAAUAAAACAAUUCAAAAUAAAACUUUCAACAACGGAUCUCUUGGCUCUC
rnacentral:misc_RNA from 1 species